CCUACUUGCCCUCGCCAGCUGAGAUAUACAAGUCAAAAUAUUUUAAACAAAGAAACAACCCAAGUAUAACGACAACUCCUUCCACCAAAAAUCCUAUGUAAAACGACGAGUCCUUCCGCAAAAAUCCUUUGUGUUGUGCCGUCACAGUAUGCAAAUGAUCUAGGAUAAUCACAAGAAAAAAAAAAGUGUGUAUUUACAGUGUGAUUAAUUUAAUUACACUUUUGGCUAAUCUAUGCUCCCUUGGCUUUUGGGUGCAGGGGAGAGUGUAACCCAUUUCUGUGAUUUUGGCGUAGAGCAGUUUCUGAGUGAAUGGUUGGAGACCUAGGCGAUUUGUGGUGAUGCCGUCUAUGGCCGUGGUGAAGUGGAUGCUUUUUGUGGUAAUGGCCAUCUUCUUUCUUCGCAUCUUUCUUGGGCUCAUCUUCUUUAGGUUUUUCAGUUUCGGUUGGAACUGUAUACACAAAGGGUCCAAUGGGAAUAUCUUCAAAAUCCUUGAGAGGUUCUAGGAUCUUCACAACAGCGCUCAUGGUUGGUCUCUGCUUUGGCCUGUGGCUCAGGCAUUGAUAAGCCAAUGCAGCUGCUUUUCGAGCCCCUGUUUCCGAGUACUGGCCUUCGAGUCUUGGGUCCAUUAUCCUCCCAAGUUUCCGGGGAUCAUUCAACAUAGGUCUUGCCCACUCUACCAGCUUCUGUUCUCUUUGAGGGCGGUUCUUGUCCACAGACCUUCUCCCAGUAAGAAGCUCGAGGAGUACUACUCCAAAACUAUACACAUCGCUCAU
rnacentral:misc_RNA from 1 species